AUUAGAAUUAGAAUUAGAAUUAGAGAGACGAUUAAUCACCGAUUUCAGAUUUCCGGCAUCAGGAGAAACCGGAGAAGUAAUCAACGGUGAUAAAAGAGGUAUAGCCACAUUCCAAUCGGUCGGUCGGUUGAUUUGAAUCGAUGCCGGUGCUCGACGCUGUAAACGACUAGGAUUCCGACGGUCUCCGGUGGAAGUCCGGUGGUUAAUUGACAUGAUUGGAUCGGAGAUUUGUAUUUGGGAGAGAGAAAUUAGGGCUCGAAAG
rnacentral:misc_RNA from 1 species